UUCAGUUUGGAGAUUAAUUAGAAGUAAUAUUUAAAGUCAAGAAUAUGAGUGAUAAAACAUGUUUAAGUUUCAAACUUAUCAAUAGCACCAAUGGAAAACAGAAUACUAUGGAAUGGAGUUCUCCACACCCAAUUCAAAUAAAAAUCUGAAGACAUGUAUUCAGUUUUAUUUACAUUUUGUGGUUUAAUAGCAGCCCAGUUCCAACAAUGCAGAAAGUAUUUUGGAGAUGUGCUGAGAAAGUAGGUUUGUGUAUAAAGGAUAACUUUACUGGGUUUGAUAAAUUUUGUCUGUUAGUUAAAUCUCUGAGGCCCACUGUUUUAGUGAAUCCACUAUAUCAGUAAUAUAUUCUAAGGAGAACAAAUUUAAGAACGAUACCUUCACAUUCAAAGUUUCUGGUUCAUAUUGUCAAGACCAAGAUCCAUGAUGUGUGUUAUAGUUGAUAUAUUUAAUAAAUACUGCAAAAUAUUUUAAAUUAGCUUAGCUGACUCUUUAGGACUGUUCCAAGAAACUCAUAUAUUGUGAGCUCUCGAGAGUGCAUCCAGCAAUAUUAACAGAUGAACGUUUCGCAAGUAAGAAAUAAAUUCCUUGAUCAUUUAUUGUAAUGAAUAAUAGUGUAAAGGAAUCUCAUACAAAAAUUGCAUCUCUUUUUCCCUGAAUUGGAAAUGUUAUAGCCAGUGAACACGUAGGUGGAGAAAGUUCUGAGGAUUGAAUACUUUCUUGCAGCGUCCUCGGAAGCAAUAUUUUUCCACGCAGGUUGUGCAAGCCAGCUUGUGUGCAUAGUUGAUGUGCUUCCUGGACUUCAUUAUGGUUAUGCAACAAAACGAGGCCUGGUUUCAGAAGUCAGCCUGGAAGUAUGGUACGGUAGUGUUAACUGUUUGUGGAAUGCCUGACAGCAUCAGCCAUCGCUGUUGGAGUGCAAUUCCUGCCACUGCCUGUAAGGGGUUUUUACAUUCUCUCUGUGACUAUUUACAUUUUCCUUGGUGCUUCACUCACUCCUACAUUCCAAAGAUGUACAGGUUACAGGUAGUACGCUGUGUCUAUUCUACAUUGGUGCCAGACGCAUGGUGAUACUUGCAGACUGCACCCAGCACAUCCUUGCGCAGUGUUGGUUGUUGACCAUAUGACAGGUUUUACUCUAUGCUUCGAUGUUUUAGUACAUAUUGACAAAUUAAGCUAAUCUUGAACCUUAAUUGUAAUUGUUGAACAUGCAGUCCUGGCAGGAGUUCCUAAAACUGCAGUCUCAUGAUGAGUUGCAACUCAAAGUACUGGGCCCAGAAUGGAUGCGGAGUGGCCCCAGUUCACUCAUCAAACUAGCUGACCUCAAUCAGUUGCUCCGAACUUUCCUUCCCUUGCCCUGAAGUUUAGCUCGCUGCCUGUUAUACCUGUUCUGUUCUCUCGUGUUUUGUGACCCCUCACGGCUUCUUAUUUUGCAGUCUAUUAUUAAGGUUGUCAUUCACCUCUGAAUCAUCUCUGCUGCUCUGAUCUUGGGUCAAACUUUUGCCAUUUUUCCCUUGACUGCGCGAGCUCUAAUCUGAUCUGCCGCUGUCUGGGAUACCAACACCUCUAUAUGCAACUAAUAUUCAGAUUUUACCUCCAAGAUGCACUGGGUUUUCUAUCAAGUGGCAAGGAUCUCACUCGGUGCUGGAUUACCGCUUGGAAUUCAGGACCCUCACAGCAGAGUACGGCUGGAAUGCUUAUAAGAUAAACUGUCUAUUCUGAAAAUGCCCACCAACCUUGAAAGCUUCGUCAGCCUAGCCCUCCAAAUUGACAAGCGUCUUAAGGAACAACCCUCCAGGUCAUCAGCCAGAACCCUAGUCCAUUUCCCAGACCCAAAUCAGGCUGCAGGUCUCUCAGCGUCAAUGCCUCCAGAACAAAUGGAGUUGGGAAGAGCUCCCUUAAUCCCCUUUCCCCACCCAGAGAUGGAGAAACAUUGUGCAUUUACUGUUGUGCCACCGUUCACCCACACAUCAAAUGCUCCCUACGUUCAGAAAAACGCCACCAAGUAGAGACGAGAAGCCUUCUAUCUGCUAAUCUCCCCCCAGCUUCUCCUUACAGCACCAAUCACAGCUUCCACUCCCUGUCCUCUUCCACACCCCGAUGGCUGUCUGCACACAGGAGGCUCUGGUGGAUCCUGGUGUGGCUGCCAACGUUCUGGACCGGACUCUGCGUGUGCAGGAUUGACUCCCUACUGAGCCAAUCUCUCACUCCUUCUGUAUCACAGCCACUGACAGACACUCCCUGGGGAUUGGGAGGUCAGCGCGUGCACAUGGCCUACGCGCAUGAGCACUGCGUGUCCAUCCAGUUCCUCCUUAUCGACUUGCCCAACACUCCCCUCACCUUGAGUUACCCCUGGCUGUCCACUCAUGAACCUCACUUCGCCUGGUCAUCCGUUUUGUUGCUGAAUCGGAGACCCACGUGCCAGAUCACCUGCCUUCAAACUCAACUGACUUCAUCCUGUAAGUCCUUGGAGAUGGAAGAAACCCUAGACCUCACCAAACUUCCUUCUGCGACUUAGCUACCACCUUUAGUAAACAACCAACCACCUCACAGACAACAUGAUUGACCUCCUCCUGGACACCACCUCUCCCCAAAGUUGUCUGUUCUCCCUCUCUCCUCCUGAGACACAAAGCUGCAGUAGCAAAGCACUGCUGCACAGACCCAUUCAUCCAUCCCAGACCCCGCUGGCGUAGGAUCCUUCUCUGAAUUGAAUUGACUUUAUUACUUACAUCCUUCACGUACAUGAGUAGUAAAAAUCUUUACAUUACAUUUCCGUCUAAAUGUGCCAUGUGUAAUUUAUAAUAAUUUAUGUACAACAGGACAGUCAAUAUAAAAGUGAAAUACAAUUGUAUCAGCAUGAAUUAAUCAGUGUGAUGGCCUGGUGGAAGAGGCUGCCCCAGAGUCCCGGAGCCUUUUUGUCCGGGCUUUAAUGCUGUGGUGCCGUUUCCCGAGUGGUAGCAGCUGGAACAGUUUGUGAUUGGGGUGACUCAGGUCGCCAAUGAUCCUUCGGGCCCUUUUUACACACCUGUCUUUGUAAAUGACCUGAAUAGUCGGAAGUCCACAUCCACAAAUGUGCUGGGCUGUCCGCACCACUCUCCGCAGAGUCCUGCGAUUGAGGGAGGUACAGUUCCCAUACCAGGCAGUGAUACAGCCAGUCAGGAUGCUCUCAGUUGUGCCCCUGAAGAGAAGUUCUUAGGAUUUAGGUGCCCAUACCAAACUUCUUCAACUGUCUUAAGUGAAAGAGGCACUGUUGUGCUUAUUUCUCCAUACAGCCAGUAUGUACAGAUCAUGUGAGAUCCGUGGUGAUGUGUGUACUGAAAAACUUAAAGCAGUUCAGCCUCUCAACCCCAGAUACAUUGAUAUCAGUAGGAGUUAGCUGUCUCCAUUCCUCCUGUAGUCUACAUGGAUUCAUCUGGUCACUCUGAAUACAUCAUGAUGUCUUUCAGUCUUUCUAACAGUCCAGCUAUUUUUCAAACUUUUAACAGUAAGAUUCUCCAGGGUAUGCUAUACAGGUAUGUGUUCGUCCUCCUCGAUGACGUCCUCAUCUUCUCCAAGAAUUCCCAAAACUACAUCAGUCACAUCCAUUCAGUCCUUCAGUUUCUUCUUGAGAACUAAUUCAACUGCAAGUUAGAGGAAUGUCAGUUCCAUACCCUGGUUAUUUUUUUCCUGUAUUUUUCCUGUAUUAUAUACCCCAAGGCACAACUAUGGACCUAGAGAAAGUACAUGUAAUCGUUACAUUAUUGUUAAAUGGCCAUGCUCCCUCAAACAGCUACCGUGUUUCUUGGGCUUCUCCAACUUUUAUCACCAUUUCAUUAGGACCUAUACCCAAAUUGCCACUUCUCUCACCUCCCUCACCAAAUCACCUACCUCGCAGAUAACCUGGUCUGCUGGCAUGGACCACUGUUUUGAGAACUCAAGAGGUGCUUCACCACUGCUCCCAUUUCCUGGCAUCCAAACCCCUCUGGACCUUUCGUAAUAGCAGUUGAUGCACCUGACCUAGGUGCUGGGGCCAUCCUCUCCCAGUGAGAACCUGAUGGAAAGAUACACCCCUGCACUUUCUUCUCGCACAAGUUCAUCUCUAUGCAGUGCCAUUACGGAGUAGGAGACACGGAGCUACCCACUCUUAAAUGGACCUUGGAGGACAGGAGACUGUCUGAUGGGAAAUGCUGAGGCUUUCAUGAUCGGGACUGACCUCUAACUCAACCCAUGUCAGGCUCACUGGGGACUCUUUACCGAGCAAAAAAAAACCUCACAAUCUCCUACCAACUCAGCUCCAAGACCAUUAAGGCAGAAGCCCUGUCAUGACACUUCAAUCCAGCUGAAAUGGAGAUUGAUCCUCAGCCCAUUAUUCCAUCCUCACCCUUAUCAUCUGGGACUUGGAGAACCAGUCUCUGCAGCAUGAGCUUGCUCCAGCUGGCAUCCCUACAAUCACAGGUAUGUGCCAACAGGCAUGUGCUCUGAAGCUGCGGGCAGAUGCUCACUUCUCCCUGGCCAUCCAGGAGCAUGACGGAUCCUGGAUUUUGGUGGCCCACCAUGAUUGUAGUUGCAUGUCAUUACGCCCCUGCCUGCACUGAAUGUGCCCAGUCAAACUCCUUCAACCAGUGGCCCUCUGGACUCCUGUGGCCCCCGCCAGUCCCUCAUUGACCAUGAUCUCACAUUGCCAUGGAUUUUGUCAUGGGUUUGCCAUCUGCCAAUGGGGUCACAAUACUCAUGACAGUGGUGAACUGGUUCUCCAAGACGGUAGACCUGGUUCUCCAACAUGAAGUUUACCUCUACAGCUUCCCACAGGAUAGAGUGUUGGACUGGGACCCACAAUCUGUCUCAUGCUUCAGGCAAUCCCCCCACACCUCAGUGAGUUUGUCCUCUGGCUAAAUGUCAGUUAGAAAGAGACUAUCAGCAUGUAGAGAAGUUUCUACAAUUCUUCGCCACCUCUAACAUUUCCACAUGGAAGAAGUGUCUUCUCUGAGCUAGAAUGUCUUACAAUCUACACACUUCCUCUGCCACAUAGCUGUCACCCUUAUGAAGUGCUUCAUAGCUACCAACCCCGAUUGUUCCCUAUAGAGGAGCCAAUACUGGAGGUCCAGUCCACAGGGCCCUGGCUUGUUGCUGGCAGAGUUCUUGGAAGAGGACAUGCAGAACCAUUCUAGCGGCAAACUAUGCCUACUGCCACUGGGCCAACCACUGGCAUUGUCCAGCCAAACUACUCCGGCCUGACAACCAUGUCUGGUUGCCCACCAAAGCCCUUCCCUGCUCACUGAUUCCUACAAGCUCUCACCCUGGUUCAUUGGACCCUUCAAAAUUGGACCCAACGUGCCUCCACCUGCUACGGUCCCUCAGGAUCACACCUACCUUCCAUGUGUUCUGCACAAAGCCCAUUGUCCAUGGAUCACUCAACCCAGCUGAGCCUGUAUCUUCUGAACCUAGGAUGGUAGAAGGCAGUCCAGUGAUCACGGUUUGCCAGUUGAUGGAUUCUCCUUGUUGUGGACAGGGUGUGCAGUACCUACUCGACUGGGAAGGGUACCGGACACAUCCGGAUUGCCCUGGGUCAUUGAGUGCUUACGAUAGGAGGUGAUGCCCUGUCGGGCCUACACAGGUUGGCUCCUCGCAGUCUUCACCCAGCUAACUUACCUUUCAUUUCCAAUACAUCACGUGCACUCCAUUUAAAUCCAGCUCUCAUCCACUAUUCCUGUUCACUUACACGAACCAGCCAGCCUCAACCAGUUGUUUCUAGCCUUCAGUUACCCUGUUGCCUUGUCAUGUUUAGUAUCUGUUCUCUCUUGUUUUGUGGCCCCUUGUGGCUUGUUAUUUUGCAGUUUAUUAGUAAAAUAUCAUUUACUGAAUUGUCUCUGUUGCUCUGCUUUUGGGUCAAGCCUCGUCUACAUUUGCUGACAGUAUCUUGCUAGAUACUACCUCUGGCUUGAUAUUUUAUGUAGAUUAAAGUUUUGCAUUGUAAAUUUCUCUCUCUUGAGGUGAAUUCAGCUGGCAAAGUCAGUAAAAUAUUAGGUUAUGGAUAGUCUAAGGAAGAAAUAAAGGUUGUAGGAGAGAAAUCUGCAGAGACAUGCACAGCAAGACUUUUGGAAUUACAUUUCUGUAAUGACAUAUUACCACCAAAUAAAUGUUACAUAACCUUUAGCUGACCACUGCCCAGAGAUUUAUUCCGUCUUUCAAUUUAUAUGGUGCUAGUUAAUGAAUACGAUAUUAAACUAAAUCAUAUUUUGCUUUUAUUGCUGAUAAAAUAUCACUGGCCUGAAAUUUAACUUUUAUACUACGUCUGUCUCUCUCUCUCUCUCUCUCUCUCUCUCUCUCUCUCUCUCUCUCUCUCUCUCUCUCUCUCUCUCUCUCUGUCUCUGUCUCUCUGUCUCUCUCUCUCUCUCUCUCUCUCUCUCUCUCUCUCUCUCUCUCUCUCUCUCUCUCUCUCUCUCUCUCUCUCUGCACUGAUGCUAGCUGACCUGCUGAGUAUUUCGAGCAUUCUGCAUUUUAGAUUUCAAACAACAACAAUUCCAGGACAAUAACUUUAUGUUGCCUUCUGUGUUAGUUGUUGUUUUCUUGUUGAAUUAAGACUUCCAUCACCUAUAUUUGAAGAAAUUUAUCUAUGAAUUUCAUGGUUUUUGCAGCUCAUCGUGCUUGGAGGGGAUUUUUUGCAAAAAUUGUUUCAAUGAUGGCUACCAUGAAAACAAAAUAAGCAAAGGAAAAUCAAUCCAACUAACCAUUCCUGGUUGCUAUGCAACAUCAUAGACUGAAAAUGCACACAUUUGUCACAGGAUGUACAUAAUGUUGUGCACAGACUCUUCAAUAUUGUUCGCUACAGAGGAACGAAGGAAUGAUGGAAUGGUACCAAUUUUGCAUAGGCACACACAAUCAUUUUACCAUUAACCAAACCUUCAAUGUAAACAGAGUGGAUCGCUGGGAUAUCUCACCAGGAGAGGCAGAGUGUAAUUAUGUGGAGGUCUCCUCACAUGGAGUGAAGAAGGGCAAUGCUUGCAAGCUUCCGUUGCUACCACUCCAGUGGGAACUGAAGGCUAAAAGAGCAAAGCUUACACUACAGAGGCUAAGUCUGUUUAUGUUGGAAAAGAGAAGACAUGGAGGAUCAAAUUCAGGGACUGAGAAAUCUUUAGGGUAUCAACCAAAUGAACAUUGAGAAACUCAGAGCAUGUUCCAAAAAGCAGAUAGCGUACGAUCAUGCACAGAACGAAACUCAUAACAGGCAAAAUAAUAUAUUUCAUGCUGAAGGUGAUGGAACAAUUCCUAAUCAAGACAAUCUAGCUGGAAACAACAUAAAUGAAAAGAAGAAGUUAGACAGGCAUAUGGCAAAAUAUUAAGUUGGCCUCUGGGGCUGGACAAAUGUUUUCCUGAUAUUUUGAAUGUCUUUGUUCCUAGAUUCUGUUAUGUGGUGUUUGAAACAGGUUUUUACAUGAACCCUGAAGGCCCAUUAAUUCUCAGGCAUAGCGCCAAUCUCACUUUCCCAGCACAUUUUACCAAAAUGACCAAAGACGUUACUCAAUUGAAUGUGGAAGGAUAAAAAUCUCUAGGACAACAGUGUAACCCAGGAUUGUCUAACAGGAGCUGCAAAAGUAUUUAAGGCAUUUCCAGCAGAACGAAGAAAUACAUUGGAAUCAAUGACAAACUACAUACAAAGACUGGCAAACGACCAAUGUGCAAAUACAAAAAAAAUACUAAAUAGUAAACAAAUUAUACAGAAGACAUGAUAUGGACAUGACUCCCCUUGAAUGUGAGUCCAUAGGUAGUGGAAUCAGUUCGUUUUGAGAUGUUUGAACCUUGCUGGUUCAGGUGAUGUAAUUAGAAAAACAUCCACCGGAUCGAUGAAUAUUCAGAUAUACUGCUACACUCAUUUAAAGAAAAAGAACUGCUUUAAUCACCCGACUUCUAUUUCUACAACUGGCUCAUUCAGCGACUUGAAAGAAGCUUGUAAAUCUGCUCAAGCAGCUCCAGUAAAUAUGCUCAAAGAUUCUGGCUAGGUCAUUGCAACCACAUCCAACAGGCAGCCUACAGAGGCAACACUAGACAGUUGUGUGAGGCCAUUAGAAAGGCCGUUGGGCCAACAAAGAACAGGACAGCUCUGUUGAAAGACCUGGAAGGUAAUAUCAUACCUGAUGAGGGGAAGCAACUGGAGAGAUGGAUUGAUUGAUGUAAAAUGAUAUACCCUCGAGAGUCUCCUUUAACUUAACAUAAGCUAAAUGAAUCGCCAAGGUUUGAGGUUAUGACUUGUCUGGAUGCUAAGCCCGCACUGAAUGAAAAUGAAGAAAACAUCAGAAGACUUUCUAAUCAUAAAACAUCAAAACCAAAUUAUUUACCUGCUGAAACUUACAGCUAGGCAAAUAUACACAAAACUGUUAUUCAGUUGGAAGAAAGAAUCUGUUCAGUAAAAUUACAAAGGUAUUGAAUUCAUGUGUUUCUAUAACAAAAAAUUAUUUGAAUUAAAUGACUGCAGUCAGUUAAGAGGUAUGCCUCCUCUUAACAUCACAGGAAGAAUGUUAAAUUGCCUACUUUUACUGGGACCCUAAUAUCUCAAGUGGCCAUUUAAGUUUUUAAUCACCUUCUGUGGUAAGUUUAUGAAUAUUUAACAUGCAAAUACAGUGACCAGGAAUGUGAUAAGGAGGAUAAAUAAAAAUUGCUGUUUAGGCAAAGCUAGCACAAAUUGUCUGGCCACUCAUGGGGAUCCAUGGUUUUACAUCAUCUUGUCCUGAGUUAUAGGGAAAGGUUAAAUAGGUUAGGAGUUUCUUUCCCGGAGUGUAAAAGAUUGUACAGAAGAUACAAAAUUAUGACAGGUAUAGACAAGGUAAUACGUGCAGGCUUCCCCCUACCGAGGUUGGCUGAGACUCAAACUAGAGGUCAUAGGUUAAGGGUGAAAAGCGGAAUAGUUAAGGGGAACCUGAUGGGGAACUUCCUCACUCAGACGAUAGUAAAAAUGAGGAAUGAGUUGCCACCAUACAUGGUGGAUGUGGGUUUGAUAGCAACAUUUAAGAGAAGCUUGGAUACUGUCAGUACAUGGAUGGGGAAGAGAAGAUGUCUAUGCUCCAUGUGCGGGUCAAUGGGACUAAACAGACUAACCACUUUAAACAGAUUAGGUGGACUGAAUGGCCUGUUUUGUGCUGUAGUGCUUGUUGACUCUACAAUUGUAUGUCACUGGCUGAGUUGCACAUUUAAAAUGCACAGUACGCUCAUUGAAGUGGAAAGGCAACUCUAAGUCUCUUUACAAAGAUGCUACCUGACCUAUUAAGUAUUCACAGCAAUCUUGUUUUCAUUGCAGAUUCAAUUAUCUUGUGCUCAGAUAAUUAUUUUCCAUGUUCCACAUAGAUAAUACGUAAGCAAAAGUCAGCUUCUAUCUUGUGAGCAGUUUCAAAAUUGAAGAACAAAAAUUUCAAGAACCUACACCAAGGGAAUGGAUGUAUAUGUUACAGAUGGAAGGGUGAAUGUAACUACUUAGAUAACAUAUAAAUAUUUAAAAAUCAAUAUUUAAACAUGCAAAUAUUUAGAAAGCAUGAAACAGAAUUUAAACACAAAUAAACUCUCCUCUCUUUGGUGGUUAUGGAGCUGCAACAGAAUCUUUAUUAAGCAAGCAAGAAAAGUAUUUAAAAAAUGUCUUCACAUAUUUGGCAGUGAGCGCAAUGUUUGUUAACAUGAAGAACGUGUCAUCCUUGUGCUAAAUUACUGUGUUUUGUGCUUGGUUUACACACAAAAAAACAUGUAGAAUUCAUCCAGUUUCUAUUUCCAACUAUUUUAUAUUUAGCCACUUAAUGUACAUUAUAUUUGUAGUCAUGUUCUCACAAUUACUGACAAUCCAUCACAGCACAUACACUAUUUCUGCACUGUACUAUAGGUUUAAUAUAAGUAUGUCAUUUUACUUUCAAUUUGUGUUUAUUUCACAAAGGCAAAGGCAAGAAGAAUUGCCUUAAGUGCUCAUAAAAUUGAUGUUGCAAACAAUACAGUAUUGUGUUUCAGAAACUCCCUGAGAGGUAGAAGCAUGAUAUUCUCAUUGCACAGUAUAAUUGUGGACUUUUAAUAAACUCUCAUGUAAACACCACCUUACUCAACUGAUUCUGCCAAAAUGUAAUUAUGGAUCACUGGACUAUUGUAUCAUAAACAUCUCAAUGCAGUUAGUGUGCUAUAGUCAUGGAAUUUUCUGCACAAUCAAUCAUUUUUAUUUAAUUUAAGGUCAUUAAAUGAGGUGGAUAUUUGAAGGGGGUUACAUGCAUUGUGCAGAGCGAAGAGAAUAUAGACUGCCAAUAAAGGCCAGUUUAUUCAGUAAAGAAGCAAAGUGGAAUUGUGGGUAAGCAAUUCUUAGUGUAAAAAUAGUGUAUCAAUUAUUGAAGGGGAGCCCCAUCACAUAUCAAAAUGAUUCAAAGUUCAGUUCAUUGUGCGAUUAGAUUUUAUCAGCUCAACAAGGAUUGCACUAGUUUUGCAAAAUUAGCCUCAGAGCAGUUUGACCACAGAGGAUAAAAUUAGUAGGGCUUCAACUUCUAAUUUGUACUCAGGCUAAAACUCUACAUAUGGGCACAAGAAAGAAAAUGACUGAGCUUUACUGGAGUACCCUUAAGGUUAAAGAGGCUAUGGUUCAAAAGCUGUCUAAAUUUACACCUAAGUAUUUGAUAAAAGGCACAGAAGACAUCAUGGACAUCCACUGCUACCAAGGAAGAAUCCAGUUCGUGAUGCUUGUUUGUACCACAGGAUUUGAACUUCUGAGGUCAAGAGAGUGGAGCUGCCCCGGUUCCACAGCUUUUCCACUUAAAAAACACUCCCACACAGGUUUCUUGCCAUCAUCGGACAUGAUGGACAUCCAACACCAUAGGAAACAGCAACAAAUAGCUCGUGUAAGAAUUCUUGUGAGCCUAACCUUUGGAAAAUCUCAACAUUUCAAAAUAAGAUUCAGAAUCAAAAUCAGGUUUAAUGUCACCAGCAUAUGCCGUGAAAUUUCUUGACUUUGCAGAAGUGAGGAAGCGUUCAUUGGUUCAAUGUCCAUUCAGAGAUUGGAUGGCAGAGGGGAAGAAGCUGUUUCUGAUUUGUUGAGUUUGUGCCUUUACACUUCUUUACUGAUGGUAGCAAUAAGAACCAGGCAUGACCUGGGUGAUGGGUCCUUAAUGAAGGAUGCUACCUUUUUGAGGCAACCCUCCCUGAAGAUGUCCUGGAUACCACUGAAGCUGGAGCUCGUCAUGGAGCUAAGUUUACAAAUCUCUGCAGCUUAUCUCAAGCCUGGGCAGUAGUUCUUCCCCCACCCCAAGCCAGGUGAUGACGCAGCCAGUAUGAAUGAAACAUUUAAAGUAAUGGAAGUAAUUUGUAUGGAUAAAAAGCUAUGCGGAGAAACUGAAUAAUGAAAAGAAAUACGGUUUUUCACACAGUUGUAUGAAACUGGAAGGAAAGUAUAUCAGCAGAAAUUUUAAAUCCUCCUCACCUGGAAGAAAACAGACUGGGGGGAGAGUAGGGUGGUGAGGAGAGGGAUGUGAUUAAAGUGCACAGGCAGUUUAUUUGCUGGACCAGUGCACCAGUCUGGCUCAUGAACUUUAAGUUUCAGAUACCAAAGACACAUCCAAAUUCAGGCCUUGAUCAGACACUUGAAUAUAAGUAUCAUAUAAAAUCAAACAAUAAUAUAAAAAGACAUAAAAAUGCAUGAAUUUAAAUAAGUUAAUACUGAAUUACAAGCUUGCAAACUGUUUUAAUUAUAGCUAUUCUAACCCUGCUUCACUGAAGGAUAGUUUUGUAUCAUAAUAAAAGUACCAAGUGGUAAUGAUAUUGAAAUUUUGAAAUUUUAUAAUAGUCUAUUGGAAAUGAUUUAAAUAAACUGUAUGCCCCUAAAUACAUGACACAAGUUGCUAAUAAAAAGGA